GUCCUGGGCAGAGAAGGAAGCUGUGGCUGCUGGCUGUGGGACGCCCGGUAUGGGCCGCUCAGCCCUCGCGCUGUGCUGUGGGCCCUUCAGGGUUGAUACUUGCAGUGCCGCAUGAAACCUCAUCUGACUCUGUUUAUCUGCCCUCGAUCCGUCUCCUGCUGCCCCACGACGAGUAAUGAUACCCAGUUCUGGAGAGAUUGAAGCCGAGUUCCCGGAGGGUGAAGUCUUCGGGAUUCAGGGAUUGGAUUGAAUGUCGCCGAUGUCACAGAACGUUCCACAUUUGAACAAGCUCCCGCAUGAUCCUCACUGUCUUACAAAUGUAUCUGGAGCCUGACUGCUUUUUGCAUCCAACACUCACAGUCUCCCAGCCACCCUCGUCUGUGUCUGAACUGAUGCAGUUCAACCACUCCUCUCGUGGCUGCCUCGUCUUUUCCCCACACAGCAGCCAGGUUGAUCGUCCUGCACUCUUAGGUCUAAUUAAGUGACUCCCUGCUUCAAAUUCUCCAGGGUCUUGUCUUUCAGUUAGAAUAAAAUUCAAACCCCUGGGCCUGGGAUGUAA